GACGUAGGGCGCGAGCGUUGUCCGGAUUUAUUGGGCGUAAAGAGCUCGUAGGCGGUUCGGUAAGUCGGGUGUGAAAACUUUGGGCUUAACCCAAAGCGUGCAUCCGAUACUGCUGUGACUUGAGUUCGGUAGGGGAGUGGGGAAUUCCUAGUGUAGCGGUGAAAUGCGCAGAUAUCAGGAGGAACACCGGUGGCGAAGGCGGAUCUCUGGGCCUUACCUGACGCUCAGGUGCGAAAGCUAGGGGAGCGAACAGG
rnacentral:rRNA from 1 species